AUUUUCAGGUUUCAAAUUCUGGAAUUACUAUUUGCUCGUAUCAUUAAAUCCUGUUGAGAAAACUCUUCUACAAACUUGUAGAAAGUAGGGUGCAUUUUUUACGGGAAUGGAUUAUUGAUACUUUGUUAACAACUGAGGGGUAACUAUUUACUGGUUUUAGGGAUGGAGUUAGUGAAAGCCAAUUUACCCAGGUCAUAAACAUUGAAGGAGUUCUGUUCAAGAGCUGGCAAAAUGAAACUGUGAUUGCGAGGUCUGAAGGCGGAGACUGGGUAAUUCUCACGCUUGAUGAGAAUUCUCAUAUGUGGAAUAGUAAGGUACAACACAAACUCAAUUACUUGUGUUAAAAAUGUUAUGAGCACAACAAUUUCUUAAGAAAUGUGGACUGUUAGCCUGUCCAGUUUCACUUUUUAGCACAGCUGUUAUCUGUUUGGGUCUUUUUUGCUAAUUGCCGGUAAAUGCCUAAGCUUAAUUUUACAAAAUGUGGAUGCAAGUCAUAUAGAUUUGUUACACAAGUUAUGUGAUGCCAAACUAA